AGUCUAUGAUGUGGGAAUAUUCAGAUCAUCUCCUUGACUCACUCUAAUGCUUCGAAGAGCGAUUCCUCACCCUUGUGCCUAAAAGAUAUGAUUUGGUUCAUAAGUUG